CUUCGCGUCUUCGAGGAUCUCCGCGUACAUCGUCGCGUAGCAGCGGUCCGGCACCAUGGCGAUGCAGUCCUGGAGCUCGUCGUUGGCGUUCCACAUCCGGCCACCGUCGCGGAUGACGUUGGGCAUCGAGGCGUCGACGAUGACGUUGUUGGGGACGUGCAGGU
rnacentral:rRNA from 1 species